AAAAAAAAAAAAACUAUUCUAAAUAUUAAUGUCUUAAAAAUAUUCUACAUUCCAAAUUCUAACCAGAAACGACAUCCAAAUAAAACUAGAGAUACUAAUAAGCACUCAAUAGCUUUAUAUGUCCCUCCCUAUGUAGCUUUUUUCAUAAAAGUUACAAAUAACAUUAUUUGUAUGGGGAGGAUUCAAUAUGCUUACAUAUUUCCAUCCGGGACCUUUUUACCAUUAGCACUUUUAGAAGUGCUAGAAAUUUGACAUCCAUAUCUUAUGCCAUCAGAUAGGGGUGAGCGCUAUUCGGUUUAAACUGAAAAACCGAA
rnacentral:misc_RNA from 1 species